rnacentral:rRNA from 1 species
AGUGAACGCUGGCGGUAGGCCUAACACAUGCAAGUCGAACGGCAGCACAGUAAGAGCUUGCUCUUUGGGUGGGUAGCGGACGGAGGGGUAAGGAGUAGGUGGAAUGCACUGUUUCGGGGGGGAAAAAUUGGGGAAAAUUUCUCCUACUACCUCACAGUGCCUGAGGCAGAAACAUGGGUUGUUUGGGCCCUUCGUUACUCUACAAGCCGGACCUGGGUUUGAUUAGUUAGUGGGUGAGGGACAGGCCAACCAAGGCGACGAUCCGUAGCUGGUCUGAGAGGAUGAUCAGCCACACUGGAACUGAGACACGGUCCAGACUCCUACGGGAGGCAGCAGUGGGGAAUAUUGGACAAUGGGCGAAAGCCUGAUCCAGCCAUACCGCGUGGGUGAAGAAGGCCUUCGGGUUGUAAAGCCCUUUUGUUGGGAAAGAAAAGCAGCAGGUUAAUACCCCGCUGUUCUGACGGUACCCAAAGAAUAAGCACCGGCUAACUUCGUG